rnacentral:sRNA from 1 species
GUCAUGAACCCCGGCAUUCAAUGCCGGGGCUUGGAGCAAGGCUCGCUUUGUUUCAAGCCUGAGACAUGAGCAGACUCAGCCCGGCAACGGGCUACGUUAUCAGGGAGUGUUCAAGGACCCGACCUUCGGGUGCGCGGCCAGCCCGCUGCUCUAGUGGGUCACUUGCCAAUUACAAUGGGAAUGUGCGAUGCUGAACAAAAACGCAUGGAAGGAGUCCGGUGAUGUCGCGUUUAGCAUCUGAGCCCUUGAGACAGCUGUUGGAGGAGGAACGAAAGGAAUUGC